rnacentral:rRNA from 1 species
GACGAACGCUGGCGGCGUGCUUAACACAUGCAAGUCGAACGGAAAGGCCCUGCUUUUGUGGGGUGCUCGAGUGGCGAACGGGUGAGUAACACGUGAGUAACCUGCCCUUGACUUUGGGAUAACUUCAGGAAACUGGGGCUAAUACCGGAUAGGAGCUCCUGCUGCAUGGUGGGGGUUGGAAAGUUUCGGCGGUUGGGGAUGGACUCGCGGCUUAUCAGCUUGUUGGUGGGGUAGUGGCUUACCAAGGCUUUGACGGGUAGCCGGCCUGAGAGGGUGACCGGCCACAUUGGGACUGAGAUACGGCCCAGACUCCUACGGGAGGCAGCAGUGGGGAAUAUUGCACAAUGGGCGGAAGCCUAAUGCAGCAACGCCGCGUGCGGGAUGACGGCCUUCGGGUUGUGAACCGCUUUCGCCUGUGACGAAGCGUGAGUGACGGUAAUGGGUAAAGAAGCACCGGCUAACUACGUG